AUCCAUCUGACGAGCCCCAAAUAGGACGGAACGCGCGUCCUGGAU
rnacentral:hammerhead_ribozyme from 1 species